rnacentral:rRNA from 1 species
UACGUAGGGGGCAAGCGUUGUCCGGAAUCAUUGGGCGUAAAGAGCGCGUAGGCGGCCCUGUAAGUCCGCUGUGAAAGUCAAGGGCUCAACCCUUGAAUGCCGGUGGAUACUGCAGGGCUAGAGUGCGGUAGGGGAGAUUGGAAUUCCUGGUGUAGCGGUGGAAUGCGCAGAUAUCAGGAGGAACACCAAUGGCGAAGGCAGAUCUCUGGGCCGUAACUGACGCUGAGGAGCGAAAGCAUGGGGAGCGAACAGG